CUACGGGACGCAGCAGUGAGGAAUAUUGCACAAUGGGGGGAACCCUGAUGCAGCAACGCCGCGUGGAGGAUGACGCAUUUCGGUGUGUAAACUCCUUUUAUAUGUCAAGAAAAUGACGGUAGCAUAUGAAUAAGCACCGGCUAACUCCGUGCCAGCAGCCGCGGUAAUACGGAGGGUGCAAGCGUUACUCGGAAUCACUGGGCGUAAAGGACGCGUAGGCGGGUUAUCAAGUCAGGUGUGAAAUCCUACAGCUUAACUGUAGAACUGCACUUGAAACUGGUAACCUAGAGUAUGGGAGGGGCAGAUGGAAUUAGUGGUGUAGGGGUAAAAUCCGUAGAUAUCACUAGGAAUACCUAAAGCGAAGGCGAUCUGCUGGAACAUAACUGACGCUAAGGCGUGAAAGCGUGGGGAGCAAACAGGAUUAGAUACCCUUGUAGUC
rnacentral:rRNA from 1 species